GGGGUAGGGUUCUUCGGUAUCUGAGACCCGCCCCGGGUGCGUAACGCGUAUGCAAUCUACCUUUUACUAUGGGAUAGCCCAGAGAAAUUUGGAUUAAUACCAUAUAGUAUAUUUGAAUGGCAUCGUUUGAAUAUUAAAGAUUUAUCGGUAAAAGAUGAGCAUGCGUCCCAUUAGUUAGUUGGUGUGGUAACGGCAUACCAAGACGAUGAUGGGUAGGGGUCCUGAGAGGGAGAUCCCCCACACUGGUACUGAGACACGGACCAGACUCCUACGGGAGGCAGCAGUAAGGAAUAUUGGUCAAUGGAGGCAACUCUGAACCAGCCAUGCCGCGUGCAGGAUGACGGUCCUAUGGAUUGUAAACUGCUUUUGUACGGGAAGAAAACAAACUACGAGUAGUUAAUUGACGGUACCGUAAGAAUAAGGAUCGGCUAACUCCGUGCCAGCAGCCGCGGUAAUACGGAGGAUCCAAGCGUUAUCCGGAAUCAUUGGGUUUAAGGGUCCGUANGCGGCCUUAUAAGUCAGUGGUGAAGUUUUUGGCUUAACCAAAAAAUUGCCAUUGAUACUGUANGGCUUGAAAUAUCUGUGAAGUAACUAGAAUAUGUAGUGUAGCGGUGAAAUGCUUAGAUAUUACAUGGAAUACCGAUUGCGAAGGCAGGUUACUAACAGAUGAUUGACGCUGAUGGACGAAAGCGUGGGUAGCGAACAGGAUUAGAUACCCUGGUAGUCCACGCCGUAAACGAUGGAUACUAGCUGUUUGGUUUUCGGACUGAGUGGCUAAGCGAAAGUGAUAAGUAUCCCACCUGGGGAGUACGGUCGCAAGACUGAAACUCAAAGGAAUUGACGGGGGCCCGCACAAGCAGUGGGGCAUGUGGUUUAAUUCGAUGAUACGCGAGGAACCUUACCAGGGCUUAAAUGUAGAUUGACAGAUUUGGAAGCAGAUUUUUCUUCGGACAAUUUACAANGUGCUGCAUGGUUGUCGUCAGCUCGUGCCGUGAGGUGUCAGGUUAAGUCCUAUAACGAGCGCANCCCCUGUUGUUAGUUGCCAGCACGUAAUGGUGGGAACUCUAGCAAGACUGCCAGUGUAACCUGUGAGGAAGGUGGGGAUGACGUCAAUCAUCACGGNCCUUACGUCCUGGGCCACCCCG
rnacentral:rRNA from 1 species